rnacentral:rRNA from 1 species
GACGGAGGAUGCAAGCGUUAUCCGGAAUGAUUGGGCGUAAAGAGCUCGUAGGCGGCUGCUCAAGUCGAAUGUGAAAACUCGAGGCUCAACCUCGAGCCUGCAUUCGAUACUGGGCGGCUAGAGUCUGGUAGGGGGAUCUGGAAUUCCUGGUGUAGCGGUGGAAUGCGCAGAUAUCAGGAGGAACACCGGUGUCGAAGGCGGGAUCCUGGGCCAGUACUGACGCUGAGGAGCGAAAGCGUGGGGAGCAAACAGG